ACUCAAUCAAUCAAUAAUCAAUAAAUCUUACAAAAGAGAAUAGUCUCUCUCUCAUUUUUGUACAAGAUGUCAUACUUCUCUGAGGAUGUGGGAGGUUCCAUCCUUUUUGAACCCUCAACAACCAAACUCAAUAGAUGAAAAGCGAUGAGGAAAAGUUCGUGUUUCGAGUGGACGAUUCGGAACGGUUGCGUUUGAGUCUGAUCCUGAUCAGUUGAAAAGUGCUAGAGAAGAUAUCAAGGAGCUUCUUAGGACUAAGUUCUUCGAUUUUGUUUAAUUUUUUAUGAUUUUUCUGAGGAAGUAUAUUGCAGUUGAUUUAGCGUUUUCUUUGUCUGGAAUUGAAGCAGUAUAGUGAUGAGAUUGUUCUUUAUUAAGCAAAAAAUACACCAUUUUAGAAGCAAAGAGAAGAGGAGGAACAAGUGGCAAAGAGGAAGAAGAUAAUAGCCAUUUCUACUAUGUAUCGGCAUUUCCGGUGGGAUCGAUUUUUUCUACAAUUUAAUGUGGUUUUCAUGUGGAGUGCCGUUCCUCCCGCUGAGUAAGCACUGUAGUUGAUUUUUUUUGUUUUUUUUUGGAUUUUCGGCAUGCGACAGGUUUGUCUAUGUUCCAGGCCUGGAUCUGCUAUUUUUCCUUUGUCUUUAUCCAUACAUUCCGUCUUUUAGGAAGAGAUCUUUGUACCCUAAAUUCUCAUGUUUUGUUUUGUUGUGGAUGUACUUGCUUUGUGGGUGUCAGGUUUUUCUUCUUUUUCGUCGUUUUGUUCCUGAGAUAUUUAAGUUUGUCUUGUGGUUGAAAUCUCUAUACUACCCCCUGCUUGGUCUUUAUAUACGUAUGUGGCUUAGAUGUUGUGGUCAAUUUGCGCUUCCGUCUUUCAUUCUUCGCAUAGCUAAUGUUUGUGUUGUUGAAUUCUUGGGUCUGAUAUCCAGUUCCAGUUUUGUGAUGGAGAACUCCUUUGAUUUGUUGUCGGAGGUGUUGCCCGGAAGAGAGGGUUUGGCGUUUUAAAGUCAGGGUUCUGAGGAUGUGGGAGGUUCCAUCCUUUCUGAAUCCUGAACGAACAACCGAACUCAAUAGAGAUGGUACUUAUAGAUGAAAAGAUUUUUGUAUUAUGCAUAUUUGAUUAUGCCUUAUUCUCGGGCGUUUUGGUCUGCAUCUGUAGCAGUGCACCUGUUAUGCCUAUUUUGUAUAUCUAUUGCGCUGCAGGAAAGAAGAAAUAUCAGUUUGCCACUACAUCAGCUGGAGGAGUUGCGAGCUUGAAUGCGCAACUGUUUUGAUGGCCUGAUUGUAGCACAAGCCGUGGAAGUUUUUAGCAGUGUUUAGUUUUCUCCUGUCUAGCACAGUCUGGGGAAUCUCAUGUGGAUGCUCAUGAUGGUUUGUGGUUGGUUUCAAUGAUUUUUGCGGUAUUGUGUUGUGAGGUAUGAUGAGCUUUUUAUCAAGUUUUGGAGAAAUAAGUGGUGCGGGGUUGUGUUAAGCCACUAUGAAAAUCACUAUGAAAGCUGCAGCUGGUGUUCUCUUAGUAAAUUCAGAAGGACUGUGGAAACUAAGGUGAUGUACAAGAGUAUUUGCCGAUGUCUUUUUUCUUCUGGUUUUUACCUCUGGUGUGCAAAGUUUUCCCGCUGACUAUAUUUCAUUGGUUUGGCUAUUCUAGAGCUCUGAUUAGUCGAGUGGGGGCCUUGGUGUUAAAUCUCAUUGCUUGAAGCAAUAGGUAGUUCAUUGCAUUGGGUGUUUUGCAAGAUCAUUAGAGACUUAUAGCAUUAGAUUGUUUUGUUUUUUGGUGUAUCUCUUCCAGGAUGUAUUGAUCUAUUUUGUAUGAUUUUUAUGGGCCAUAAGAUGUUCCUUGGUCACCGUUAACGCUAUUUAAUAAAACUCUUCUAAUUAUCGA